rnacentral:rRNA from 1 species
AGGGGGAUAACUACUGGAAACGGUAGCUAAUACCGCAUAACGUCUUCGGACCAAAGUGGGGGACCUUCGGGCCUCACGCCAUCAGAUGUGCCCAGAUGGGAUUAGCUAGUAGGUGGGGUAAUGGCUCACCUAGGCGACGAUCCCUAGCUGGUCUGAGAGGAUGACCAGCCACACUGGAACUGAGACACGGUCCAGACUCCUACGGGAGGCAGCAGUGGGGAAUAUUGCACAAUGGGCGCAAGCCUGAUGCAGCCAUGCCGCGUGUGUGAAGAAGGCCUUCGGGUUGUAAAGCACUUUCAGCGAGGAGGAAGGGCAGUGUGUUAAUAGCACAUUGCAUUGACGUUACUCGCAGAAGAAGCACCGGCUAACUCCGUGCCAGCAGCCGCGGUAAUACGGAGGGUGCAAGCGUUAAUCGGAAUUACUGGGCGUAAAGCGCACGCAGGCGGUUUGUUAAGUCAGAUGUGAAAUCCCCGCGCUUAACGUGGGAACUGCAUUUGAAACUGGCAAGCUAGAGUCUUGUAGAGGGGGGUAGAAUUCCAGGUGUAGCGGUGAAAUGCGUA